rnacentral:rRNA from 1 species
AACGAACGCUGGCGGCAUGCCUAACACAUGCAAGUCGAACGAGACCUUCGGGUCUAGUGGCGCACGGGUGCGUAACGCGUGGGAAUCUACCCUUGGGUUCGGAAUAACUCAGAGAAAUUUGAGCUAAUACCGGAUGAUGUCGAAAGACCAAAGAUUUAUCGCCCAGGGAUGAGCCCGCGUAGGAUUAGCUAGUUGGUGAGGUAAAGGCUCACCAAGGCGACGAUCCUUAGCUGGUCUGAGAGGAUGAUCAGCCACACUGGGACUGAGACACGGCCCAGACUCCUACGGGAGGCAGCAGUGGGGAAUAUUGGACAAUGGGCGAAAGCCUGAUCCAGCAAUGCCGCGUGAGUGAUGAAGGCCUUAGGGUUGUAAAGCUCUUUUACCCGGGGUGAUAAUGACAGUACCGGGAGAAUAAGCCCCGGCUAACUCCGUG